UGGAAACAGUGCUAAUACCGUAUAUCUCUAAGGAUCGCAUGAUCCUUAGAUGAAAGAUGGUUCUGCUAUCGCUUUUAGAUGGACCCGCGGCGUAUUAACUAGUUGGUGGGGUAACGGCCUACCAAGGUGAUGAUACGUAGCCGAACUGAGAGGUUGAUCGGCCACAUUGGGACUGAGACACGGCCCAAACUCCUACGGGAGGCAGCAGUAGGGAAUCUUCCACAAUGGACGCAAGUCUGAUGGAGCAACGCCGCGUGAGUGAAGAAGGUCUUCGGAUCGUAAAACUCUGUUGUUAGAGAAGAACACGAGUGAGAGUAACUGUUCAUUCGAUGACGGUAUCUAACCAGCAAGUCACGGCUAACUACGUGCCAGCAGCCGCGGUAAUACGUAGGUGGCAAGCGUUGUCCGGAUUUAUUGGGCGUAAAGGGAACGCAGGCGGUCUUUUAAGUCUGAUGUGAAAGCCUUCGGCUUAACCGGAGUAGUGCAUUGGAAA
rnacentral:rRNA from 2 species